rnacentral:misc_RNA from 1 species
CCCUCAUCCCUCCCAACAGAAUGAGGAGCCGGCAUCAGGCACAAACAUUUCGCCCAUAACACCUAGCUUCGCCACACCCCCAAGGGCCCUCAGCAGUGAUAAAUAUUGCUAAAUUAGCGCCAGCUCGAUUCAGUCAAAGUAAACAGGGCCGGCCAACUCGGUGCCAGCCGCCGCGGCUACCCCGCUCGGCCCAAGUUGAUACCCUCGGUGUUAAGCGUGAUUAAAGUGAUACAACAUUAGAAUUAAACUCCAACUAAGUUGUUAAAUACUUGUCUGCAAGAAACUCACACCCGAAAGUUAUUCUACAACACUUGAACCCACGACAGUUAGGACACAAACUGGGAUUAGAUACCCCACUAUGCCUAACCGUAAAAUAUUAAUUCACACCAACCCCCACCAGGGAAUUACGAGCCUAUCUUAAAACCCAAAGGACUUGACGGUUUCCCACCCACCUAGAGGAGCCUGUUCUAUAAUCGACACCCCCCGCUAUACCUCACCACUUCUAGCACAUCAGUCUGUAUACCUCCGUCACAAGCCCACCGCGUGAGCGCUCGCGUGAACUAAAAGACCCACCCAUCAAUACGUCAGGUCAAGGUGCAACUUAUGAACUGGGAAGCAAUGGGCUACAAUUUCUACGAUAGAACACACGAAAAACUGCAUGCAACACAGUUAUUGAAGGCGGAUUUAGAAGUAAAAAGAAAAUAGAGAGUUCUUUUAAAUCGGGCACUGGGACGCGCACACACCGCCCGUCACCCUCUUCAAAUGCCCCAACAUUAGAAAAGGCAAGUCGUAACAUGGUAAGUGUACUGGAAAGUGCACUUGGACAACAAAAUGUAGCUUACUUAAAGCGCCUCGCUUACACCGAAGAGAUGUCCUUAGACAGACCAUUUUGAGCCCAAGCUCAGCCCACACCCCACAUCACUUAACCCACUAAAUUAAAUAAAACAUUUCCCCCAUUAAGUAAAGGCGAUUAAAAGAUGACUAGGAGCCGUAACAACAGUACCGCAAGGGAAACACGAAAUAAAAUGAAAAUUAAAGCACAAUAAAGCAAAGCUUCAACCUUGUACCUUUUGCAUCAUGGUCUAGCCAGUUUAACCAAGCAAAACGCACUCAAAGUUUGACUCCCCGAAACUAGACGAGCUACUCUUAAACAACCUUUCGGGCCAACCCAUCUCCGUAGCAAAGGAGUGGGAAGAUUUAAGAGUAGAGGUGAUACGCCUACCGAGCCUAGAGAUAGCUGGUUAUUUAAGAAAAGGAUUUUAGUCCACCUUUAAAUUUUUUUAGUACAUUUAAACAUUCAACAAAUUUUAAAGUCAUUCAAAUAAGGUACAGCCUGUUUGAACAAGGAAACAGCCUUCAAUGUAGGGUAACACCCACCCAACGUGGUUAGGUAGGCCUAAGAGCAGCCAACCUUUAAAAAGCGUCCAAGCUUCACCACCACUUAUCGAUAAUCCCACUGUUAACCCGCAACCCUCAACCACUACUAAAUAACCUCAUAUUUAUAUGAGAAAUAUAAUGCUAGAACUAGUAACAAGAAGAAGACCUUCUCCUAAAUACAAGUAUAAGCCAAUACGAACAACUCACCGGCACUUACCGCCACACAUCUACAGUAGCAACAUUACAAGAAAACUCUACCACCCCCGGCGUUAACCUUACACCAGACUAUUACAGGAAAGAUUAAAAAAGAGGGAAGGAACUCGGCAAAUAUUAGCUCCGCCUGUUUACCAAAAACAUCGCCUCUUGACAAAUUAUAAGAGGUCCGACCUGCCCAGUGACAACUGUUAAACGGCCGCGGUAUCCUAACCGUGCAAAGGUAGCAUAAUCACUUGUUCUUUAAAUCAGGACUAGUAUCAACGGCCUCACGAGAGCUAUUCUGUCUCCCCCCUUCAAUCAGUGAAACUGAUCUCCUCAUGAAGAAGCGAGGAUAUAAAUAUAAGACGAGAAGACCCCAUGAAGCUUUAAACUCGCACCACUGUCUAACACCUACACCAAAAUAAACCAGACAACAUGGUAGCCAGUCUUUCGGCUGGGGCGACCACGGAGAAAAACAAAACCUCCAUGAUGUAAGGACACCCCCUAAUUUAAGAACCACUACUCUAAAAAUCAACAAAUUGACAUAAAUUGACCCAAACUUUUGAUCAACGAACCAAGUUACUCUGGGGAUAACAGCGCAAUCCAUUUCGAGAGACCCCAUCAACAAAUGGGCUUACGACCUCGAUG